rnacentral:rRNA from 1 species
UACGAGAGCCUCAAGCGUUAUCCGGAAUUAUUGGGCGUAAAGGGUGUGUAGGCGGUAAUGUUAGUCUCAUGUCAAAGCCUGUCGCCAAACGACAGAUCCGCAUGGGAAACGGCAUAACUAGGAGGGUGCGAGAGGUGAAUGGAACUCACGGUGUAGGGGUGAAAUCCGUUGAUAUCGUGGGGAACGCCAAAAGCGAAGGCAAUUCACUGGCGCAUACCUGACGCUGAAACACGAAAGCCAGGGUAUCGAAUGGG